AUAGUUACAAUAAAUUUUUAUGUGCCGAAAUUGUUGAAUGAUAUUGAGAGAGAAACUUGACAGAUAUGGUUGCAAUGUAUAAUAGCCAUCUGGAAAAUAGUUGGUAGCAACACACAUACACAAAUCUAUUUUACUAUAUGGUACUGUUUUCCAACAGUUCGGCAAACGGUGAUAUAAAAUGGUAUAAGUGUAUUCACGAAAAAAAAAACAUCUGUCAAAACAUAGCAAAGCUAUUGAGUCCCAAGUGAGGCAAAAUUUCGCUCAAUUUUAAAGCCAUCGAAGAAACUAACUAGUAAUUGACUUAUGGCAGUGAAAAUAUUAUUAAUUAAUAUAAAAUCAUUUCAAUUUGUUAUAAUUAUCGUUGUUGUUUGUUCCUGCUUCUGCAUCUCUACGGGAAAGUAGAUUAUUUUGAUCUGUAAAACUUUUAAGUUAUAAGCGCAUACGCCAGAAAACACUGAAACGUCUUCAUGCAUCCUUCAAGUAUCCCUGUCGGCUUUGAAAAGGCUGCACGAGAACCAGACGUGAUAGGAUUUCAGCAUCCAGUUGCCCAAACCAAGCAUAGCGAGCAAGAUCCGCACAGAUUCUUCGGAUUUACUGUUUCCGGGAGACUGAGCAGUUAGUGUUACUAUUGAAUCCAAGUAAAAACAAGGAGGAGUGAUGAUUAUUCAUAAUUAAAAAGACAAUAGCGUUCUAACAAGACAGAAACUGUAACAGGUUUUAAUUUCAAUCCACCAGGAAAAGUAAAUCUUGGAUUAGAGAAAACUGUACAAUGCAAUAAUACAAAUAAUACAAUCUAGAGGUUAAAGAACUAAA